AAAUUGAAGAGUUUGAUCAUGGCUCAGAUUGAACGCUGGCGGCAGGCCUAACACAUGCAAGUCGAACGGUAGCACAGAGAGCUUGCUCUCGGGUGACGAGUGGCGGACGGGUGAGUAAUGUCUGGGAAACUGCCUGAUGGAGGGGGAUAACUACUGGAAACGGUGGCUAAUACCGCAUAACGUCGCAAGACCAAAGAGGGGGACCUUCGGGCCUCUUGCCAUCAGAUGUGCCCAGAUGGGAUUAGCUGGUUGGUGAGGUAACGGCUCACCAAGGCGACGAUCCCUAGCUGGUCUGAGAGGAUGACCAGCCACACUGGAACUGAGACACGGUCCAGACUCCUACGGGAGGCAGCAGUGGGGAAUAUUGCACAAUGGGCGCAAGCCUGAUGCAGCCAUGCCGCGUGUAUGAAGAAGGCCUUCGGGUUGUAAAGU
rnacentral:rRNA from 1 species